CUCCACCUGUCGCCCCGGAUCAGCCUGCCCCACCGGCUGCAGUUCAUCCCGAUUUGCGGGUGCCAGCUCAUGCACCAUUCGCAAGAUACACCGUCGAGGAUUUGCUUGCCCAGCCCGGACGAGAGGGUUUACACGUUCUGGACCCCGAUAGACCCCCGGGUACUUAUUGGUUUGGGGCUAACAACCGUGUUAGCCGGAGCGUUUCAGAGACGAUGAAGGGAUAUUAUGACGGCCCUUAUCCCAACUGGACCAUGACUCCCGAUCACGUCAAGACGACGUGGUUUAAAUGUUUUGCGGUAAUUAUAUUUACAUAUUAUUAAUAUUUAUAUUGUUAAUUAAAUAAUUAUUAUUUUUUUUUCUAAUCUUUUAAAAUGUUUGUUUUUUCAGCAAAGGUGGAACUGGUCCGUAGGAAUCACCGAGAGGGUGAAGAGCGAAUUUAUUGCAAAGGCGAAAACUCGUCUUUGCAACACCGUCUCCGAUUGGAAGGACAAGUGGGAGAUUUACGGCUAUGAGGGGAAGCCGAGCGGGGUCACAAAGGAAGCAUGGGAUGGCCUCAUCACCUAUUGGAACGAACCCAGCUCCAUCCGCAAAGCCAACUCCUGCUCCGCUUCCC